AACGAACGCUGGCGGCAGGCUUAACACAUGCAAGUCGAACGCCCCGCAAGGGGAGUGGCAGACGGGUGAGUAACGCGUGGGAAUCUACCCAGAUCUACGGAACAACAGUUGGAAACGACUGCUAAUACCGUAUACGCCCUACGGGGGAAAGAUUUAUCGGAUUUGGAUGAGCCCGCGUUGGAUUAGCUAGUUGGUGGGGUAAUGGCCUACCAAGGCGACGAUCCAUAGCUGGUCUGAGAGGAUGAUCAGCCACACUGGGACUGAGACACGGCCCAGACUCCUACGGGAGGCAGCAGUGGGGAAUAUUGGACAAUGGGCGCAAGCCUGAUCCAGCCAUGCCGCGUGAGUGAUGAAGGCCUUAGGGUUGUAAAGCCCUUUCACCGAUGAAGAUAUGACGGUAGUCGGAGAAGAAGCCCCGGCUAACUUCGUGCCAGCCGCCGCGGUAAGAC
rnacentral:rRNA from 1 species